UCCCUGGUGGCUCAGAUGGUAAAGAACCUACCUGCAACGCAGGAGACCCAGGUUCGAUCUUUGGUUAGGGAA
rnacentral:tRNA from 1 species